rnacentral:piRNA from 1 species
UAGUAUUUGAGUGUCCAAAACAUGUGUGC